CCCUCAACUGACUAAGAAGAUGUAGGGCUAUAAACCCUUACUUUCUAGGAUGCAACUCCGAGAUUAAUUCUCGUCUUAAUCAACUAUCAACAAAUUGUUCUAAGCUUGAAAAAUGGAUAGGAAGAGGGGUGAGAUUAUGAUUACAUAAUCCUAGUGAGUAGACAGACAUCAUCAAAAUAAUCUAAAGCCGAGUAAUAGGAGACAAUUAAAAUAAUUCAUCCCAACCCAUAUAAAUAAUUGAAUUUCAUUCAAUUACUCAACAUGGCUUAUGCACUUUUCAAAAACUUGGCCAUUGCCAAAAAUUCAUUCUCGGGGAUACCCCGCGGAGGCAUCUUACCGAGACCGCCAAGGCUGUUUAUUGUCAGACACACAAACACAUUUCACCUCUGACAACACAGUCGUUCCUUGGCGUUGGCUGAGUCUCACUCUCACGUGGUGGCCCGAACGUGAGGUGCACUCAAAUCCUACCUCGAGAGUUAUCCUACACGCCUCUCCAAUCGAGGUAAGCUCAAUAAUUGGGAAUCGUGCCCCUCUAAUUAGGCUAGCCCACGGAACCUCCGUCACUGCAGUGCCCACUUUAUAAUCCACCAACCAAUAAAAUCACAAUAGUAUGACAUGGCUCACUUAACACAUUCAAGGCAAAUCAAAGCAGUUCACAUAUUCUUUAAAUCAUAAAAAUAAC
rnacentral:lncRNA from 1 species